rnacentral:rRNA from 1 species
UGCGACCCCAGGUCAGGCGGGACUA